rnacentral:sRNA from 1 species
AACUAUUCAUAAAAAAAUUGUAUGUACAAUGAAUACAGUAGAAACUCUGUAAAUUAAUACUCGAUAAAUUAAUAAACAUGAUAAAUUAAUAUAUUAUGUCGGUCCCAAGUCGGGCCAAUGUAAAUAUUAACCAAAAUCGAUAAGAUAAUAAGAUAAUAAUUAUUUUGAAAUCUCUAUGUAAAAAUAUGGUCCUAAUAAUAUCAUAAAUUAAUAAUCAUAAAUCUUAAAUAUGCUUUUAAGAUAAUCUAGUAUAAUAUGAAUUUAAUUUUCUUAGUCUUUUUUAAAAGUUCGAAUCUUGUUGAAGUUCAUGUCUAAUUUUUUUAUUGCAUCAAAAACUCCUGGUGUUGUCUUCUCGAUAUGCAUCUAAAAGUUGUGAUGACGUGAUAAUUGUUUUUUUAUGUAUCAUUAUUUCUAAAAGUUUCAUAUUAUCGUCUUCAACUUCUUCACCAACAUUAUAGAAACAAAUCACAAUUUCUUCUAAACUUUUUGAAUUUUGGAGUAUGCUUCAUUUUUACCUAGAUAAUCGAAUAGGCUAUCGACAUUUGUUCUAUUCCGAAAGUAUAUAGUGUUAUAUUUUGCUUAAAUAUUUUUAUAAAUUAAUAUUUAUUAAUUUAUGGAUAAAUUAAUAUCAUUAUAAAUUAAUAAAAUUUUAUGGUCCCAACAUUAUUAAUUUAUAGAGUUUUUACUGUAUAACUUUGAGAGUUAAGAGUUGAGAGUGUAGAAAAAACCCAA